UAAAGUAAAAUAUUUUUUUUUUUUCGAAAAUAUUUUAAAUAAAUUUAAAAAAGAAGAUUUUUCGCGAUCAUAUUUUGCCGCGGUUAAGCCCGUGCAGCUGUCUGUCUGUCUGUCAGGUACUGAAAAAAAUCAGUACCUCGGUACUUACGUGAAAACGUGGUUUGGACUUUGCCAAAGCUAAGUUUACUUUUAAUCUAUUUUCAUCCAUUACAUUUUUUAAUAUUAUUUUUCACUUGAAAUUUGUUUUAAUACUUUGUUUUCAUAGAUACAUAUCAUUACUAUUAUUUUUAUUUUCCUUUUUUUUUUUUUUUUUUUUUUUUUUUUUGUAACAGUACUUUCUAGUUUGAACUUUUCACUUCUCUAUCUUCCUAUAAUGAACUAAUAUUGUUUAAUUAAACUUAUAAUUACUUUUCAUCUUUAUUAAACUUUUUUAUUUCUGAUAGUUUUGACUUUUGCAUAAUUGCCAAGUUUCUGAAAUUUCUAACAAUAAAUUUCAUUAAACUAUUUCUGUCACUGUACUGACUUUUUUGAAUAUGGCUUCUUUGCAUGAAAAACUGAAAUAUUUCUGUUUAAUUACUGACAUGCAUUUAAUUAAUACAGAGGCAGCUGCACUCGAGUUUGCCACCGAUGCUGGACUUCUUCCCAGAGAGGAUGAGGCACCACCUUGCCCCAAGUGCCAGGCACCGAUGAGAAGCAACAAGAGAAAGGAAUCAAAGCUGGGAUGGCGUUGGGUCUGCAGCCUGAGAAAUCGCAACAACUGCUCUGGCAUGAUUAACCCCAUUGAAAACACCUUUUUUGAAGGUACAAAAAUCCCAAUAAGGGAAGCUUUAGUCAUAACUGUGUACUUUGUUCUAGAUCACAGUUUUAGCUACAUAAAUCAGCAGCUAAAGCUAUGGAGGGAAAAGCAAAAAUUACCAGUAAUUGCAAAUGAGACUAUUGUUGACUUUUUAUCAUAUUGUCGUGAGGUAUGCGAAAUGAAAAUCUAUAUUAAUUGAUGAAACAUUUUUGACCCGCCGCAAGUACAACCGCGGCAGGGUAACCAAAAAUAUGACCAUCGUAGUUUUAGGCAUCUACUGUCGAGAAGACAAAGAAGGAUUAUUUUUCAAGGUUAAAGGAAAAAGCAAAAGGCAUUUGUGGCCUUACAUUAAACGUCAUGUUCACCCAGAAACCACCUUCAUAUACACUGACUCUGCUCCACAAUAUAAAAGGAUAGAAAAUUUAUUUCCGGCAGCAACACAUAAAACUACCAAUCACAAGAAAGGCGUAUUCGUAGAUCCCGAUGAUAAACAGAACACUAUAAAUGAUCUUGAGGGUGAAAACAAACUUUUUAAGAGGUCUAUAAAGAGCAAGAGAACAGAUGAUAUUUGCACGCAGUACAUGGCUGUACAUUAUUACAGGCGGUUCCGCUUGAAGCCCUUUACUUAUGAUGGAGAAAGACUUGCUCAGUUUCUACAGGACAUUAAAGCUGUGUAUCCAGGCCAUGGAAAAGUCGGCCUUGAACUUAAAAUGUUGGACGAACCAACAUCAGAAAGCGAAGGAAUUGAGGACCUGAUGCCUCCAAAGAAAUCAGCCCGACAAGAUGAUGAUAUACCAUUCAUUCAGGAAGAUGAUGAUAAAUGGGAAUUCAACCAAAAAACAGAGCCCAGAAAACAAAAGGAUGGAAAUGUUGCGAAAAUGUUGCAUAUCUUUUACAGAAAGAGCUGCAGAUCCAAAAUGUCAUGAAAUACUAUGACAGAGGUAAGACAAAAUUUUAACCAUUCACAGCUUAUGUUUCAAAUUAGUGCUUCACUUUAUUUUAAUACUACUUCUUCAGUAAAAGCAACUGUAAAAUUUAUUUAGUUAUUAUUAGUAUAAGUUUACCUACUUAUUUUUCAGUAAAAAAAACUUUAUUGCAAAUUAGGUAAUCCAAAAAAAAUAAAUAAAAGAAAGAAGAAAAUUAAUUUUGACAGAUAAAUUGACAAACAUAGAGGUGAGUUGAUUAAUUUAAAGGUUUCCAGCCUACUUCUUACCAGAAAACAUUUUAUUGUUAAGGAUAAUUUAUCACCCCUUUCAGGUAAAGAAUAUUGCAGAAAUGAGAAAUGAAUCAUGGAAAGAAAUGAAUCUUCAGUCAGAAAAUAUACAGGGACUUCAAAAAUAACAUUUUGCUGCCACUUAGACGAGGGAAGAAGCAGAUGGAGAAAUCAACUCGGAUGACAAACCCAGUGCCUGGGGGUAUAGCCAGGUUUUUCUUUCAAGAAACACAUCCGAGUUGAAACGACUGAUGCGGGCCACACCUGAAAGCGAAGGAACUGAGCGACU